GCCGGAGCCAACGCGAUAAGCAUCCCGCCUGGGGAAAACGGUCGCAAGGCUAAGACUCCAACGAAGUGACGGGGACCCGCACAAGCAGCGGAGCGUGUGGUUCAAUACAAUGGUACACGAAGAACCUUACCUGGAUUUCACAUGUACGUGGUAGAGAAGCGAAACCGGUUUGACCCUUCGGGGAGUGUACACAGGUGGUGCCUGACCGUCGUCAGCUCGCGCCGUGAGGUGUCGGGUUAAGUGCAGUCAUGAGUGCAACCCUUAGCGUUACUUGCACGUAUUUAGGGAGAUUGCCGGCGAGAAGCCGGAGCCAGGUGGGGAUGACGUCAAGUCAGCAUGGCCCUUAUGUCCAGGGCUACACACACGCUAGCAUGCACACGGUAUAAAGGCCAGUCAAAGUCACGAGUCGGAGCGAAUCCCGACAGAGCCGCUGGUAGUUCGGAAUUGCAGUCGGACAACUCGCCGGCAUGAAGAAGGAGUGGCUAGUAACCGCGCGUCAGCUAGAGUGCGGAGAAUACCUACACGGCUGUGAUACACUCCGCCCGUCAUGUUCAACCAAGUCGGUCACGACUGAAGCCGGUAGC
rnacentral:rRNA from 1 species